UAUGUACAAAUGUGCCCUAGAAUUACAUCAUUGUAAAUAUUUUCAAGGAGGUGGGGUCUAAAGCUUAAAAAGAGGGAUUUUAGAGCCAGGAAGGAAUAAGCUCAGCAGGAGCAGGAGCAGGUCUGAUUUUCUGCAGUUCUGAGGCUGGGUAACAGAUACUGAGGUUUCCAUUUCUUUGCUUCUUGCUUUGGGAUUCUAGACCACCAUCAUAAAGAGAACAGGAAAAAGGCAAAAGAGACAAAAUCUUUAAGCAAUUGGCGCACCAGUUUGUGAAUUCUUUCAUUGAACCUGCACUGACCAGAAGGGGAUUCUCAUACCUCAACUCUCUGCAUUGCUACUAACCUCAUCAAGAAGAUCUAAGUUCAAAGCAAGAUAACUGUAUAAAUCUGCGUUAAGGACCAUGCCUAG